rnacentral:rRNA from 1 species
UACGUAGGGGGCAAGCGUUAUCCGGAAUUACUGGGCGUAAAGCGCACGCAGGCGGUUCGCCAAGUUUGGAGUGACAGUUGUCGGCUCAACCGAUAAAGGACUUCAAAAACUGGUGAACUUGAGAGCGAGAGAGGAACAUGGAACUCCAGGUGUGAGUAGUGAAAUGCGUAGAUAUCUGGAAGAACACCAAAGGCGAAGGCAAUGUUCUGGCUCGUUUCUGACGCUCAGGUGUCGAAAGCCAGGGGAGCGAACGGG